ACAGAGGGUGCAAGCGUUAAUCGGAAUUACUGGGCGUAAAGCGUGCGUAGACGGUUAUUUAAGUCGGGUGUGAAGGCCCCGGGCUCAACCUGGGAAUUGCAUUCGAGACUGAAUAGCUAGGGUGCGGAAGAGGGAAGCGGAAUUUCCGGUGUAGCGGUGAAAUGCGUAGAUAUCAGGAGGAACACCGGUGGCGAAGGCGGCUACCUGGACCGGAACUGACGCUGAUGCGCGAAAGCGUGGGUAGCAAACAGGA
rnacentral:rRNA from 1 species